rnacentral:tRNA from 1 species
ACAAAUAGCUCAAUAAAAGCAUCCCGGUUUCGGCCCGCGAAGUGGAGAAUUUUUUCCUUUGUUUU